ACGAACGCUGGCGGCGUGCUUCACACAUGCAAGUCGAACGGAAAGGCCCUGCUUGCAGGGUACUCGAGUGGCGAACGGGUGAGUAACACGUGGGUGAUCUGCCCUGCACUUCGGGAUAAGCCUGGGAAACUGGGUCUAAUACCGGAUAGGAGCCAUUUUUAGUGUGAUGGUUGGAAAGUUUUUUCGGUGUAGGAUGAGCUCGCGGCCUAUCAGCUUGUUGGUGGGGUAAUGGCCUACCAAGGCGGCGACGGGUAGCCGGCCUGAGAGGGUGGACGGCCACAUUGGGACUGAGAUACGGCCCAGACUCCUACGGGAGGCAGCAGUGGGGAAUAUUGCACAAGGGGCGCAAGCCUGAUGCAGCGACGCCGCGUGGGGGAUGACGGCCUUCGGGUUGUAAACUCCUUUCGCUAGGGACGAAGCUUUUUGUGACGGUACCUAGAUAAGAAGCACCGGCUAACUACGUG
rnacentral:rRNA from 1 species